rnacentral:lncRNA from 1 species
AGCAUGGGAGGGUGAGAAGAACAGAGGUGGAGGCAGGACCGCGAUGCCGGAGCUCUAGGCGUCGCUCGCGUUGUCGUGGAGUGGAGAAGUGUCGCCGGCCAUGACUGAUGGUUGUUGCUCACCGGCCGUCGUCCCCUGUACCCAAUCCAGGUUGCACGUCCUCACACCGCCCACCCCCCUACCUCUUGAUCCCCCCAGUUCUCUGGUAAUCUGAUUUCGAUUUCUUUAUUUUUGUAAACAUGAUGUGCACAUCUGAGAAAGAAGAGGAGAGGAAGAAUCCUGAGGAAGAGUUUGAUGAAAGGGUACUCUCUCUCACAAAGUCAAGUUUUUUCUGCAUUCUGAUAUUUGUUUGUUCGGAAAGAUGUAGUAGCACCCGGGGGUCCCGGCACCCCAUUAUCCUAUCCGUUGAAUCACAUCGAGAUUCAUGCAGGCCUUGACGAGUUACAAACAACAGGAUGCUUAGUGAGGCCAUUUGACUCAUCUGACAAGCGAUAUGUACUAGGCCUUAGGUCUAAUUAGCAGGUAGUAGGUCUGACGAGCCUGUUUCCGACAGGAGUGACAGGCUGGGUCACGUUCUACACAGUCAAAGCGGCGCCUGCCAUAACCGGAACCGUUUGCUUCGGAGACAGUAAUUUGCAGAGACAUUUGCAGCUCAUCUCCACUACUCUAAAUUGGAAUCCUCUUGAUAAAGGUGGGACUCAGCGCAUUGAAAACAGCAUCUCGUCUCCACUCCUCUGCUCGGCAGUCAUAUCAGAGACAUGAACAGUAUCCGCGAACAUUGGCCCUGUUUGGAUCUAUAGGUUAGAGUUAGUUUGGGUUAGUUUGGCCUCAACUAACCCAAAAAGAUCCAAACAGGGAGGGUUAGUUUGGGUUAGAUGCAUCUAAUCCAUCCAAAAAACUAACCCAUCCAAGGGGUGCUUAUUUGGGUUAGUUCUUUUUGGAACCACUAAAAAACACAUUUUUCUCUCGCUCUUCCCGCAGCAGCCCCGCCUAUCCUCCCGUUCCAACCCCUCGUCUCCGCGCGACCCGUCUGCCCGCCAGUAUGCAAUCGCGGUUCCUUGCGCGGCCUGUCCCCGCCGGCAUCGGCCAGCACGGUUCAUUGCGCAGGGAUGGCGGAUUCGGCCGGCGGGCUGCGCGAGAGGCUAGCGCGGCUCCUUGUCGGGCGCGUCCCAGUCUGCCUCGGACAGCGCAGCUCUCGGCCAGCUCUCGGCCAAAUGAUUGAGAAAGAGCAUUUAUUGUCAAUCUAACCCUGCCAUCCAAACACCUUUUUGGUUUGAGUUAGUUCAGGGUUAGUUCAGGAUUAGAAACUAACUCUAACCUCUAACUAAGUUAGAGUAUCCAAACAGGGCCAUUUCCUCUCGCUCUAUAAAAACCACUCUGGGUCAAGAGAUUGGAACAGUAUCCCCUGUGCAUGUGCUGCACGCUGGAGAGAGACAGAGAUUGGAACAGUGAUGUGAUGUGCUGCGUUGGUUACCUUUUGAUUUUUUAAUUCACAGGCUGGACAACGACCAGGCUAUGAAGAUGGGAAUCUGCACUGUUCAUAUAGGCCUGCUAAUGCAAAACCAUUGCAUGGCAUGGCACAGUUCUCUCAGACUUGUGAUCCAUGCGAGCAGCUCCUGAUUGCCGGGUGCCCCGGCCCCCGGGUGUUGAAAAGCCGGUCUCUUGUUUGUUUUAGCCAUGUUUAGAUUAGUUUCUAUGUAUGCCAACUAUUUUGUUUGCUUAUAUUCCAGCGACCUAUGUUCCAUACUGAAUGCAUAUUUGUGCAGUGGUUCUUAGUUAUAUUCUGAUAAAGAGAGAAAAAAUUGGGGAUAGAGGUAUAAGGCCUUAGAUUCUUUGCCUCCAACAGAAGAAAUGAUUCAUGUGUGCCUCCCUUUUUGUUAUAUCUUACAUACUUUUUUACCUGGGCAGAUAUCACAUAGUCAUGGUUGGCAGCUAAUAUCCAAAAUUUUAGUGUUGUUAGUACACUGAGGUUUAUCUUAUUUUGUAAAGGUUUUGUCUAUCAAGAACUACAUAUGCUCGACAUGGUGUCGUGGUAUCUAUAGUUGUUGUGGAGCCUGCUGGUAUUCUCACCUUCCACUGCCUCUUUCCCCUCUCUGUAUGAACCCUUUCCUCAUUUGUUUUUGUUCGUGAUAUACUUUGCUUGUUUUGGCACCUUUUAAUUGAUGCAUUAUUCUGUCUAUUUUUUUUGUACUCAGGUGCCUAUGCGAGCUACAUUGGAAGAAUCCAUGUAUUUAGUUGUGGCAUGUUUGGCAGCUACAGCAGCUUGAUAAUUAAUUAGUUCUCAUCCAAGGUGAUUUACUUCUCCCCUUUCUUUUCCAAGAGGCAAAUAAUUGGCUGCUAAUUAGCAGCUUGGUUAUUUUCUAUCUCAAGUGUGAUUGUCGUCUUUGCCCUGCUGCUUAGUUCUGCUCCCUGCUGUGACUAUAUUUUGCGAGGCACUAAUAAGCAACAAUUGCACAAGGUCUAUGCCAGAACUAUCUUAGAUUAGGCACUAAUUUCUUUUGUACUUGUCUAGCAUUUGAAGAGUCCAUAUGUGAGUGGAUCUCCUUUUGCUUUGUCAUGCUACUGAAUGUCUGAACCCAUUUUUUGGGAAUAAUAAUAUAUAUGACAAGAAACCAUUUAUUCUCUCUCUGUCAAUAUUGAUAUGAGCUGUGCAUAUUUUUGGUUGUCAGUGAUAUAUGAUUUGUAAUUUCUAAUUGAUCCGUUCAAUUAUUUGAGAUAUCAUCAGUACAAAGCAUAUGUUCUAAACAAUGUAGUUUCAAAAUACAAAAAAAAUCUCAGAGGAAGGCUUUGUUAAGCAAAUACAUUUCGGUUCAUAUCGGCUAUUUGCGCCAUUGGCGCCAUCUUCCACACGCGCCCACUCCCGACACAGCUCCACUUCGGCAGCAUCUUGCUGCUCGAUGGCGACACCGACGGCUGCCCAUGUGGACGACUAAAACGGGGCUUUGCCAUGAUGAGUGGGUGGACGAGGAGAUGCAACAGCAGCAGGCUCGUGCAUCACCGCAUGCUACGGAUUCAUGCCUGUACCAUUUAGGAGGAGACAGGAUGGCAGCAGGUCCGCGCAUCGGCGCCAGCCGCAGGUUGACUGGCCGGCAUCAGCUCAGGGGCGUGAUGUGGGUAGCCCUGACCUGCAGAAUCACGCCCACGCCGCAUCCUCCGAGGUGCUCACCGUGCCCUACAUCUCUGUAGGCGCACGUCGGGCAGGAGCUUAGCCCCAUGUUAUUGCUCAAGGUUUGGCCGUGUUCACACUUGGAAUUAGUCCUUUAAAUGAUGGAUUAUUCAAUGUUUGCGCGGGUGGAUGUUAGUGGAAAUUCAUCUGCAACACAUAGUUGUUCGACAAAUCACCAUAUCUCUGAAUGUGUUGAUAUAUUUGUAAGAGAGACCAUACAUGGCGCAGGGUCAUGCAUCGUGAGCUAGCGUUGGAGGUAAUUGGAAAGUUCAUUGUGGAGUGAACAAGGGUUGAGGCAGUGUAAAAGGUGCACAAGGUACUAGAAUACACUGACAUACAUUAUAUUCUUCCAAUCAAUUAAUUGUUGUGUGAUGAAACACAUUCGGUUCUUUAGUUUAUCCAUGACAAACAUUGUAGCCUCCAGACUUUUGCAAAGUACUUAUGUUUAUUGUGACAAGUGUGCAUGCAUCGUGGUUUGGUGACUCCUCUGUAGUGUUGUACACAGUCUUGUAAUAUAAGCCAAGAGGUCCAGACCAGAAGAAUUCAUUUGCUAACCAUUCCCGAACACCAGACAACACACGCGUUGAAAGUACAGGAAAUUAAUCUAUUCGCCUAAAAUCCUUGUGUCCGAAGAUUCUUCUUGAUGCAUGGACUGAACAGAGGUAUCAGAAACAGCGUUGAUACUCCCAGUUAAGUCUUUAGGCAAAACAGAAGCGACAAAUGUCAGAUACCAUAAGGCCAACGGAACCAUGUUAUCUACGGUUGCAAAAUAGAUUUUGUUCCAAGAAACAAGUUUUAGAGGGUCUCGGGUCUUAUAUCUUCAUGGCAGUUUUUUGACCGAGGUAAUAAGUCAUUGCAUUGCACUCAUAUUUUGCGUUUGGAAUACCAGGACAACCUUACUGAAAAUACAUUCCCUGUCUUAUUAUAAGCAUUAUUUCGAUAUUGUAACAAGUUGGAUAACCACACAAUUUUUCACUUUGUCGGCAACUUUGCAGUUCUCCUAUAGAUUGAUCAGGGACUACUUUUUCCCGGGGACUCUACUUAAAAUGCUCAAUACAGAAUUUGGAUUCUUGCAAAUUCCCUUUGGGCUUUGGUGUUGUUUGCCAUGGGUUGGGACUCUCGCUGCUGUGGUGUGUUUUGGUGCUGGUACAUAUUGUCAUACCUAAUCAAAAUUCCAGGUGAUGGCUUCGUUUUGUUGUAUUCUCUUAUGGCAGUAGUUAUGUUUGCACAUGAAUGCAUGCAGAUUUUCUACAUGUAAUUAACUACAGUGGUGUUAUCUGUGCAUAUUGACAAUAGCUUUUUAUGUGCCAUUUUCCCGAAAAAGGCUUACACCCCGCUUUAUAAAUAAAGCAACUGCCACAGAGCAUACAUACCACAUAGGUCCACACGAACACACACGAGUCUCACGGAAAAGAACAAAGGUUCUGCUGAGGGCACAGCUCAACAAGCCCAAAAAAGAAAAAAAAAGAAGAGAACAACAACAUCACAGCGCACCCAACACAAGGUGGCUAAUCGGGCUCCGGCGGUGGCGGCGGCGGCGGCGGCGAAAGGCGGACGGCCAUCGAUCGGAUGUCGGCGAUGAAGGCGGAGAUGGCGUCACGGUCCGAGGGGCGACUAAGCGGCCGCCAAAGCUGCAAGAAACCCGAGAAUUUGAAGAGAGCGUCAGUAGGGCGACGAAGGGGAGCGCGCUGGAUCACAAGUUUAUUGCGAACGGUCCACAACGUCCAAGCAAGCACCCCAACUUCCAGCCACCUAAUGUGGUGAGAGGAUACAGGGGACAGUUGGAGUUCAGCAAAAAGGUCCGGGAAGUUGGUGUGGCACCAAUUCCCUCCAACCACCUCGCGAACGCAGCUCCAGAGGAAUUGUGAGGAGAUGCAGGAGAAGAAGAUGUGGUUUGAGUCCUCCGGGACACCACAGAGCGGGCAGAUACCGGUGCCUGGGCCAUUGCGCUUGCGGACCUCCACACCAGACGGAAGCCUACCACGGAUCCAUUGCCACAUGAAGAUGCGAAUCUUCAGUGGCACCCGAACGAUCCAGAUCAUCGAUAAGGGGAGGGGUGCGGAGGAAGGGGCGAUGGCCGAAUAUAGCGACUUGGUGGUGAACAAGCCCGACGGCUCGAGCCGCCACCGGGUACGGUCCGGCCUGUCAUCCACCAGUGGCUCGUGCAAUGCGACACAGUCAAGCAACUCACGCCAGGCGGCGGAUUCCGCCGGCCCAAACGGUCGACGGAAGGCAAGGCGCCCCAGAUCAAGAAGGGCCCUAUUGACCGAUAUCAUGGGGUCAACGGAAAUAGAGAAAAGGACGGGGAAGCGGGCCGCGAAGGGGGAGUCACCAGCCCAACGAUCAUACCAGAAGAGAGUCGAGAGGCCAGAGCCCACGGAGAUGGAGGUCCCAAUGCGCAGCACUGGGAGAAGCUGAACAGUGGACUGCCAGAACUGGGAGCCGCCCGAUCUCUGGCAGAAGGCAAGGGGUUGACCCCGAAGGUAUUUAGUCCGGAUAAUGUCCAACCAGAGGCCGCCAUGGCCCUGGGCGAUGCGCCAGAGCCAGCGGGAGAGGAGCGCGAUGUUCAUCCGCUUGGAGCACAUGAUGCCCAGGCCACCUUGCUCCCGGGGCUUGCAGAUGUCAGACCAGCUGACCAUGUGGUACUUCUGCUUAUCAUGCUCACCAACCCAGUAGAAGCGAGACUGGAUCGUAGCAAUCUCCUUAUGUAGGGACUCAUGGAGGCUAUAGAAGCUCAUAAGGAACAACAGCAGGCUAGAGAGAGAAGAGUUGAUAAGAAUAGUUCGGGCCGCCUUGGAGAGCCAUCUCCCCUGCCAGGGCUCACACCGGGACUGGAGCUUAGAGAUAGCGGGCCUCAAGUCCGCGGCAGAAAGGCGCGAGUCGCUAAUGGGGGUCCCUAAGUAGGAGGAGGGGAAAGAGCCCAGGCGGCAAUUAAGCCGCUUGGCAAUGGCCAGAGACUCAGCGGGGGAGUAUCCCAUUACCAUGACGUCGCUCUUAUCAAAGUUGAUCUUGAGACCUGACAUCUGUUGGAAGCAUAUAAGGAGGAACUUGAGGUUGGCGAUGUCCAUCUCCGAGCCUUCGACCAUGAUGAUCGUGUCGUCAGCAUACUGAAGGAUGGAAAUCCCGGAUCCCCCAGAGAGAUGUGGGGUAAUCCCACGAAUGUGGCCAGCCGCCUUGGCCUUAUCAAGAAUGGCAGCCAAGGCGUCCACCACCAUAUUGAAGAGGAACGGGGAGAAGGGGUCGCCCUGGCGAACCCCACAGAGGGUAGGGAAGAAGGGACCAACCUCGCCGUUGAUGUUAACCGUCGUGCGACCGCAAGAGACCAUUUGCAUGACUCUAGUGAUCCAACGGUCAUCAAAGCCCUUCCGAAGAAGGACUUCUCUAAGGAAAGUCCAGCUGACCGAGUCAUAGGCUUUGUGAAAAUCGAUCUUCAAGAAAACCGCCUUGAGGUGUUUGGACCGGACCUCGUGAAGGACCUCAUGGAGGACCAAAACACCAUCCAGGAUAUAUCGUCCUCUAAUGAAGGCCGACUGGUUAGGAUGCGUAAUCCGGUCAGCCAGCAGGGUCACCCUAUUGGCGUACCCUUUGGCCAAGAUCCGGAAGAUCACAUUAAUGACCGUGAUCGGCCGGAACUGGAGGAUGUCAGACGCCCCAGGGAUCUUGGGGAUGAGGGAGAUGAUCCCAUAGUUGAGGCGACCUAGGUCGAUGGCACCCACAAAGAAUUCCUCAAAGAUGGCCAUGACCUCGGGUUUAAUCACGUUCCAGAAGGUCUGGAAGAAAAUAACAGGGAGGCCAUCAGGACCGGGAGCUGAAGAGGAAUUCAUCCCCUUGAUAGCCUCCCAGACCUCCUGCUCGGAGAAGGGAGCCGUCAGGGCGGCAUUUUCCGCCCUGGAGACUAGCUGAAUACCGGCCCAACAAUCCUGGGCGAGGGAAACGCCGCUCCGAGGAGCAGCGGAGAAAAGGGACCGAUAGAAGCCAUCGACAUGAGACCGGAUGUCGCGAGGGUCCUGAAGAAGAGUGUCCCCAUCCCAAAGGAGGGGUAUGGUGUUGCGCCUACGGCGACCGUUGGCGAUCGCCUGGAAGUAAGCGGUAUUCGCAUCACCCUUCAGGACCCACUUCUGGGCGCCCCGAAUGCGCCAAUAGGCCUCCUCAUCAGAGUGGAUCACGGAGAGUUGGUCUUCGAGGGCAUAACGGGAGAGCCAGUCAUCCGGAGACAAACCCACCGAGUCAGCCCGUAGGUCAAGAGCUUGAAUCGCGGAAAGCAGCGCUUUCUUGCGCUCUCUGGCAUCUCGCCCAAGGUUGGCCCCCCAUCCCUUCAUAAACUGUCUACCGCGUUUCGCACAGAAAUGCCACGUGUCAAUAGCCGAGGGAGGCCUGGGAUGGGGGUGGGCUCGGGCCUCAAUCCACCGGGCGCAAACCGCGUCCGUGAAUCCUGCCUGGGAGAUCCAGAAGGUCUCAAAGCGGAAGCGAGGAGUGAUCGGCGGGCGAUCGUCCGCAGAGGAGAGAAGGAGGGGGACAUGGUCCGAGCCAAUCCUAGUGAUGGCGCGGAGAGAGGAGAGGGGGCAACGGAGGUCCCAAUCCGGGGAGACAAGGACCCUGUCCAACACGGACUGGGUCGGGGAAGAUUGUCGAUUGGUCCAGGUGAACCGCGCACCAAUCCUAUCAAUCUCCCGAAGGGCGAGGUCAGCGAUGAAGUCAUUAAACAUCUGCAUUCUGGCAAAGCACACAUUGUCGUUGCUCUUGUCUGCCGCCACGCGCAGCAGGUUAAAGUCGCCACCCACCACCACGGGGAGGGAGGCAGCCGAGAUUUUAAGAUGAAGCUCAUCGAGGAAGGCAGCCGACCUACUAUGGUCGGCAGGCCCGUAGACAAUGAUGAUCUCCCAUUUGAAGUUGAGAGAUCUCUCGAAGAGCUCCAUGCUGACAUAGAAUUCCCCCCGGUCCAUACUGCCCACCUCGAAUGUGGCAUCCUUUACGCCUAAAGGAUGCCACCCGAGUGGCCCGAGCUCCCACUAGAAGGGAGCCAAUGCCACGCAAAGAGGUGGGAACUCAAACGAUCGAGCUCGGGGAGCGAGAAUUCGCGACGCAUGGUCUCCUGGAUAGCAACGAUGUCGAUGUGUUCCUCUCGCAUGUACUCCACAAGUUGGCGGCGACGACCCUCAUGGCCGAAGCCGCGGAUGUUCCAGAAGAGGGCCCGCAUUAUGGGGCCAUCGGGGGGCUGCUUGACCCCAGGACACGGGAGGCGCUUUGCGCGCGAAGAGCGGCAGUGCGGGAGCGGGUACGGCCUCGGAUCUCGCUCGGAGGUGGGGGAGCCGGUCGCCGCGGCCCGGAGGAAGAGGGAGGGAUCCCGUCCGCAGGGGCGUCCAGGGGGGAAAGGAGAGCAGCACGGGGCUCGGCAAGCUUCCCCUCAAGGAUCUCGCAGGCCCGGAUGGCAGCUAUCUGAACUAAAGGGGGGCCAACCUCCCCCCUGAAAAUAAUCGCAGAGUCGGAGGCCACUUUGGCAAGGCUGCCUAGGGGGAUAGAUUCUAGUGCAGAGAAGGAACAAGACGAAGCAGAGGGGGGGACAGGGGGUGUACCUGGCUCCAGGUUACGGGCAGCCGCGCGAAGCUCUGCUCGCUCGCGAAUGGGCAGAGCCGGGGAUCCCUCCGGGUGGGCCGCAUCCAGCCGCGCGCUCCGGCGAGAGGCCACCACCGGGGAGGAGGUCGACCUGCCGCGACGGGAGUACGCUGCAGUGCGGUGGGGAGGGGGCUGGGACGCCGUCGGGGUGAGCACGCGGGACGCCCCCUCCCUCAAGACCGGCGAAGAGGGCGACGUCGGCUGAGCUGGACCGGCGAAGCCAAAGAGGAGAGACUCAGCCAGUGGCGGCCCGGCCGGAGGUGGAGGAGGCGGAGGCGACGUGACGGGGAGAGGCGACGGAGCCGGGCCGUCGAGCGGGAGGGGGAGGGCGGCCUGGGCAUCCACCCUCCGAGGGGGGGACGGGUCGAGUGGGGCGCAGGCUGCCGGAGAGAAGGGGACCGCCGUCGGCGAAGCCCGCCCCUCCACAGGCGCCACCGACUCCCCGUGGGUGGAGGAGGCGACGAAGAGCAGGUCCGCCGAGAGCGUCCCAAUGGCAGGGGACGACAUAGGAGAGCGCGGGGAGGAGGCCGGGCGGACCAGCAUGCCCACACUGGAGAUGUCGCUCCCCUCGGAGGAGGAGACUGGCGCGAGAGCAAAGUCAGCCAGCAGAGGAAGGAGAGCGGCCUUGCGGCCCUGGUCCCCCCCCUGUCGGUGGGGGGUGGCGAGGGAGAGGGGGAGCGGGAGUCCUCAGAACCCCCCUCCUCAUCCGAGCGACGGGAGCGGUGCCGCCCGUGGUAGUCCCCACCGGCCCCCGGGUCGCCACCAGGGAGGCCAUCGUCGAAGGAACGGGACGCCCAAUGUGGUUGGGGGGCUCGGGGGCAAGUCUGAGGUCAAAGCCCUGGUCGUUGAAGAAGACGCGGACUGAGGUGCGGAGCUUGGUGGAGUCGACACACUUGACCUUGACCCGGACCUCCUCCUCCUUGCGGAGUGAGAGCUCGUCCACGGCCACCACCUUGCCCAGGAGACGGGACAUCUGGCGGAUGACGGGCUCGGACCGCGCAAUGUCGGGCAGGCCGGAGAUGAGGAUCCAGGCGGUGUCGAGGACAGCCACAGCCCGAGCGUCGAGAACCGGCUCGGAAAUCUCGACCACCAGCUGGUUGAGGGCGAGGGUGAUCCGGCCACUACGCGUCGCGUAGCCGUAGCUGGCAGAGUCGGGGAAGACGACGGGGAAGAUGUGGCCCGCGGUAGGAGUGGCCACCCAAUCCCAUUGUUGGCGGUAGAGGUGGUUGAGCUCCGCCUCGAUCAUCUCCGGGGAUGCCACGCCAUCGACGACAGUGACAAUCGCCUGGAGGGAGGGAGACGGUGGAGGAGCAUCCGGAACCUCGAGGUGGAAGAAGCCCAACCCCUCAAUCCCAUGCCCAUACAUCAUGAGCUCGGAGACCACCGGUCUAUCCGGGCACAGGAUGGCGGGGUGGCCGGGAUCCUUGCAGAGGUAGCAGCACUGGGGGUUGACGCAGGUGACCUGAGAGUGGCCCCUCACCCCACAGUUGAAGCAGGGGGGGCGAGGGAGGCCGGAGACGGGGCCCGGCGCGGGAGUGGAGCCAUGGCCCGCCGGCGGAGGCACGGGCGGCGCGGUGCGCACGCCACGCCUCUUCUUCUUUUUGGUCGGACCGGACCGACCAUGGCUGGGGCCACCACCCGGAGCCAGGGCCGGGGCCGCACCCCCGUAGGCUGCGGCAUGGGGCGGCACAUAGCGUCGGGGUUCCACCGGGGUGGGGAGGAUCCCAUCCCGGGGUCGGGGCGGGCUCGGCCGCGCGGUGCGGGAUGGGGAGGGAGAGCGGGCCCGACGGGAGGGUGGCGACGGAGAGCGCCGGCGACCACGCCAAUCGCCCGAGGAAGCCCUAGGGGAGCGGGACCGUCCACGGCCCUCGCGGCGGGGAGGAGAUCGGCGGCGAUCGCGGAGCUCGCGGAGCUCCCUCCGGAGCUCCUCCUCACGUCGAAGGCUGUCGGGGGAGGGGCGAGCAGGCUCCCGGUGGAGCUCGCCAGCCUUGCGCUUGUCCCGAGGCGCGGGAUCAUCCCACUCCCAUGGCAUGGCGCGCGAUGGCGAGGAGGGAGGGGACGGAUCCGGGNNNNNNNNNNNNNNNNNNNNNNNNNNNNNNNNNNNNNNNNNNNNNNNNNNNNNNNNNNNNNNNNNNNNNNNNNNNNNNNNNNNNNNNNNNNNNNNNNNNNNNNNNNNNNNNNNNNNNNNNNNNNNNNNNNNNNNNNNNNNNNNNNNNNNNNNNNNNNNNNNNNNNNNNNNNNNNNNNNNNNNNNNNNNNNNNNNNNNNNNNNNNNNNNNNNNNNNNNNNNNNNNNNNNNNNNNNNNNNNNNNNNNNNNNNNNNNNNNNNNNNNNNNNNNNNNNNNNNNNNNNNNNNNNNNNNNNNNNNNNNNNNNNNNNNNNNNNNNNNNNNNNNNNNNNNNNNNNNNNNNNNNNNNNNNNNNNNNNNNNNNNNNNNNNNNNNNNNNNNNNNNNNNNNNNNNNNNNNNNNNNNNNNNNNNNNNNNNNNNNNNNNNNNNAGGGGGGCCAGAUCGAGGGAGUUGUCAACGCCCUGGGCCUAGGUUCAGAAGUAGGCCGGCCCAGCCGGGGGGGAUGGGGGGGAGCUGAGCGGGCCGGUCCGAGGUAGGCCGGGGGAGGCCCAGGAGCGUGCAUGGGGGGUCCAACAGCCGGGGCGGGCCAGGGCCCAACAGCCCAGCCACCCGAGCGGUGCGGCCCACCAGCCGAGUGAGGGCGGGGCGGAGGGCUGGAACCCUACGGCCGCCAGCCAUGGGCACCGCCGCCGGCAUGGGGACGAGAAGGGAGGGCGGGAGGGCCACCGCGCCCCGGACCGCCUGCACCCGGAGACCGGAGGUCCCGAAGUGAGCGAUAAAUGGCCGGUACGGGGCGGCGCGGCGCGCCCGGCGCGAGAGAGCCGAGGAGGAGGAGUCCGCCGGCGCGAGAGAGCUGGGACCCGGCGGCCUAGCCGCCACCCCCGGGCGGCGCCACGAGGAGCAGGCGGCGCCCCUAUCGGAGCGCCCAGCCACGCCCCAGGUGCGCCCGUGCCUGCGACGGGGGGCCCGGCCGGCCAAGGUCCCAGCUUGGGAGGGGGCGGACCGGGGAGGGCUGAGAGGAGCCGAUGGGGGGGAGAGGGGCGCCCGCUAGCCGGGAGCCGAACCCCACACGCGGGGGGCUGAGCUCCCGGGCCGGCAGGAAGGGGGAGGCCGGCGACCGGGGCAUNNNNNNNNNNNNNNNNNNNNNNNNNNNNNNNNNNNNNNNNNNNNNNNNNNNNNNNNNNNNNNNNNNNNNNNNNNNNNNNNNNNNNNNNNNNNNNNNNNNNNNNNNNNNNNNNNNNNNNNNNNNNNNNNNNNNNNNNNNNNNNNNNNNNNNNNNNNNNNNNNNNNNNNNNNNNNNNNNNNNNNNNNNNNNNNNNNNNNNNNNNNNNNNNNNNNNNNNNNNNNNNNNNNNNNNNNNNNNNNNNNNNNNNNNNNNNNNNNNNNNNNNNNNNNNNNNNNNNNNNNNNNGGGGGGAACGGGGGGUCCUCCGCGCAGUCAGCCCAGGAGAAACGGCCCGGCGCCACUGCGGAGGCGGGGGAGGCCGGCCGAGCGGAGGCGGGGGAGGCCGCGGGGGAGGGAGGGGCGAGGCGGGAGGCCGCCGGCGAGGGGGCGGCGGCGUCGCGCGCAGGAUCGCCCGUAGGGUCGCCAGCCAUUCGUCCCAGCCAGUCCUUUCGUAUCAACCUUCGUACGUCAAACACUGUAGUUCCCAGGUCCAAAAAUUACCUUUGUCUGGUGUGUCUUUGAUUGAUCAUGUGCCAUUUUCAAAGAAGGCUGUCGUGUUUGUCGAUUCGGUCAUGGCUCUUAGUGUUUGUUGUUGUUGCUCGAUCUUCCCAUGGUAUGUAGUGCUACUCUGUUCUUCUUUCUGUGAAAGGAUAUGCUUUCUCCUUUAACAUACUGAAUGAAGUUUCAUGAAGAAAGAGUUGUUUUAUGUUACUUCCGAGGAACUGGCAUUUUUGAUUCGUGCCAUGGUGAUUAACAGAGCAUCCAAUGGGAUAUUGCUUUUCUUCAGAAAGUAUUAUGGAUAUGAGGCCGCAAGCUUUCCGCAUGGCUCUCUGCCUAUUGUUUUGGCACAUCUUUGAAUUAAUUUCUUCAAUUUGGCGGGGCUGUUCAGACUUCAGAUUUUUUUUUGGUUUGAAUGUAAGUAAUAUCCCUCUUUGUGCAUGUGUGCUUCUAUGUAUUUCCGGCUUCUCUAUUCACUGCCUAUGGAAUGCUUAUAUAUAUUAGCCUGUAGUUUACUAUUUUGAUCUCAGUUCAUAUUUUUGAUGCAUUUAUUUAAACUAAAAUAACUUGGAUAAUAAGCCUUUCCAUUUAAGUACUAUCUGUAUUUCCUUUGAGAGCAAUUUAGCUCAUAAAGAAAAAAAAUGCUUCAUAGCCAUUCUUACAUUGUCUAUAGCCAAUACUCCUAUUUGAAGCUAUUGAAGAAUUUCCCAUUUUUCUCUAAUACGAAGUACCUUCUCUGACGUGCGGUUAGCAUAUAUAUAUGAUAUGGCUACAACAUAUAUAGUUUUCCUUCUAAGACUGCUGCAAAUAAUCUCAUGCUUGCUGUCAUCAUAUACACAUAGUAUAGAUGAAGUUGGAUGAUAAUUCUCUCGUAUCACUAUGUGGAGCCUGAGCCUCAUACCAAGGUAGUCAGAAUCCCGACUCGACUGCUAGAAUCCUACGACUUCACGACCCUACGAAAGCAUGUCGAUCCAAGUCCCACUAUGAUUCCAGAUCAGGUAGAGUCCAUGUUGAGUCGCGAUCCAUAUCAUAGAAUCCAGUACAAAACCGCGGAAUCCCGACUAUGCUAUGGACUAUGCCCGAUUCUACUAAAUUAUCUAAGCCAUUUGUUUAGUUGUAGCAGAAUACUAUGCCGUCAUUCGGACCCUUUUUCACAUGCUCAUGGCCCUUUAUUCCCCUCCCAAGCCCAAACGCUCAGUCGCUGACAUCUUUAUUUGGCUCUCAGAAACCCUAGAUCAAAAUGAGGAUCAGGCUUGUCGACGGAUGGAAUUAGCAUAAGAAGGAGGAUGCGUCAAGAUCAAUCGGAGAAGGAGAGAAAGAUCCGUCAAGGUUCAACACUGCGGAUUAGCUAUACAAGUGAUCGACUAUUCAUGAACUCUUAAAAAACCUCCUAAGUAAAUUUCAUGCACGAAAGAUUUAAAGGUUCUAUAUAUUUCCCUCUCAUAUGUGUUCCAUACAUGCAAGCUAGAUUGUAGGAUAGCCAUGAAAAAAAGUGGAAUACAACUAGCAUUGAUGUGUACGUUUUUUCUCUAUAUUUAUUAUUAGAACUCCAUAGAAUCCAUAUAAAUUUUCGGCGUGGAUACAAAAUAUCUUAUUUGAGAAAAUCUAGUAGAAUCCUCGAUUCCACGACUCGAUACUACGACUCGAUUCUGUCUAAGGAAAAUCGAUCCGACUCCGAAUCCCGACUUUGACUACCUUGCCUCAUACUAAUCUUGCACGGUCAAGUUUAUUCCUGCAAUUUAAUGUUACGAUUUAUGCUAAUGUAAACAUGACCAAGCUAGAGGAGAGCUUUGGUUUUUUUUCGUAUUUGUUCUGAUAACAUAAUGUCUCCUAGGUUCGAUACUGUCUUCUCUCCAAUCUUGUUCCCUUCCCAGCUUCCACCCAUCUUCAUGAGCAAGUGUAGCUCCAUCCAUGACAAAGGUAUAUAGAUCAGAGAGGUCUGAGGAGGGACAGGGUUGGAAGCUAGGAAGGGAAGUAAACUUCCUGAGCUUCAGUUCUAGGUGAAAAGAGAGUGUUUUUUAUUUUGUAUUUACUUUUUUUUUCUCCGACCAAAGAAUUGUUUUGUUGGACUAUACGACUGGAUUGAAGUUGCUAGCCUGAACGCAAAUUUCCUUGAGAUGGUUCAUUACCAAAAUCCUUAAGAGAUGUUUGAAGGUGGGUCAGUGAGUGGUGAUGAUGUUCAUGAGAAUUCCCACACAUUGGUAAUUUUUAUAUGGAGGUGCAGAGUGCCAGGAUCUCAAAUCUAGAGCAAUCUUGUGUCAGUGUUCACGUAUUGUGAUUAUCUAUGUGGCAUUGGGAUAGUAAGUUCCCCCGUCCAUACAAGGGCGCUAUUUACAAUAUGAGGGAACUUAUGAUUUAUAGGAGCUACAACUUAUGAUUUAUAAUGCUGCUCUUCCAUGGUUAUAUAUAAAAUAAAACAAAUUAAGUCUUUCCUUUCGGUUUUCAUCACAGUUCCUUUUCAUGAUUCUGUAGCACUGGAAUGAUUAGUUUGUUCUUCAGUAACUUCUUCUUCAGUAUCAUAGUUAGUAAACAUAUGAGGUUUGGCAAGUUAGUAUUUACCAUUGAUGCUUGAAAUAAAUAGCAUGACUGGUGUUGCACCAUGUGUGUGUAGGUUUUUCCUUUUAGUUUACUUAUAUAUGCCUCUCCUAUAUUCUAAAACAAAUUCGAACUGUUAGUAUUUACCUUAAUCUCUUCCACAUGGAAGAUAGGAAAACUACAUACGGAAGGAUGAGUUCUAUAGCGUAUCAGAUUCAGGCAUUUGCACUAUUUUCUUGAUUACCUCACUAUGAUUAUUGUUGUAGACUUUUAGUAUAUUCCUCACAGGCGAACCCGUAUUUUCUUCAAAUCUAUAGCACACAUCUUUUUGCUAUAGUCAUUUCGCCAUGGAUGCAACAGUCUAGGAAAACAAGAUACCUGUCUGUUUUCAUUCAUUUGCCUUUUUAUGUGAGAAGUGCCUCCAUGGGAUUAGCGACGUGUAUUUAUGCUUACCCCUUUUUAGUGUUUGGUGAAGCCGAUGGACUGUGAACAUUAUGUACCACAUAUUCUGGCCUUUUGCCUUUUUAUUACUUAUAAUAUGUCAUGACAAUUUAUUUUCCUGAGUCAUUUAGUCAAACUAGCCAGUCAAGGAUAGCCAAUGGUCUUUUGGCUAUUUGUUUGUUCAUUUAAUUCAACAUGCAUGUUUCUGGAGUAGUCUUGGCGCAAGACACAUAAUCAAAGUUGAUUUUCUUAUAAGCUGAUCAUCACAUAGCUAAUUGGUAGUUACACUAGCUGAGCUUGUCCUAUGCUCAUUGUACAGGAUAGAUAGUGUAUGUGAUCUUCUUGAUGAGGAGAAGUCUUUUUAGAGAUUCCAAUAUAAAUUACAUACGGAUGUAUAUAGACAUAUUUUAGAAUGUAGAUUCACUUAUUUUGUUCUGUAUGUAGUCCGCAUUGAAAUCUCUAAAAGGACAUAUUUAGGAACGGUGGGAGUUGGAUACGAUUAAGUAUUUAAAUUAGCCAUAUGAGCACUGUUUCUUUGAGUGCCACAAGGAUGUCAUCUUUAUUCACAUGUUAUGUGUUAUGUGUUAUGUCACAUCAACUUCUGCCCUUUUGUUUUCUGCAGAACACAACAACUGUUCGUCACCUAAAAGGACAGGAUGACACCAAAGGAGUUAUGAUAGUAGCACUUAUAGGCAUCGAGGAAUUGACAAAGAGAUUACGCUUCAUAGGUAUGAAGUUAGAACAACGGCUGGAAACUAUCAAAGGCCGUUUCUAAUUACCUUUGUUGGAUCUGUCUUACCUACAAUGCAUGUGUGACCCCUGGAGAAGCCACUUUUUGUUUCUUCUGCAGUAUACUCCAUGUUUAGUUCCAAUGAUGCCCUAACCCUUUUGUUCCUGCUCUGAAGAAUAAGACAUGUAUAGGCUUCAGAUUUUUGUAAUCAUCUAUGUGCUAAACAUCCCUUUGUGGUCAUGUGUUUUAUAUGUAAUCAAGUAUCUAUCCAUGAUGAUAUAUAUGCCCAGCUAAUGUUUGAAAAGAUCCAUCAUCUGUAUCACCACUGCUGGAUAACCGCUAUAAAUCUACUAGCAGUACCGGUCAUAUAAAAUAGCUACCGUUACUGAUGGAUAACCAUUAUAAAUAUAUCAG